CUUCAACAUUUUAUUCUUAAAAUGGGCGACCAUUUUUAAGAGAGUUUUCACACUAAAUUCUUGAUAUUCUCGUCUUAUUGCCAACGCCGUAAACUACACGUCUGGCAUAGACUUAAAAUUCCACGGCAGCUGUGUGAAGAAACUUUUCCGCACUUGGGGAAAAUGUGAGUGGAAAUGAUGAUAAAAGGUGAAAAAUGCACUUGCAUAGAUGAGGGAAACUGGAGACAACUUAUUAGUUGGUGCACACCAAGUAGUGCUGCUAGCCAAAGAAAAGUUUAUGUGGCAACUUUGAGUUGCACUUGCGUGUAGCAACAGCAGCAGCAAGUGUUGCAUACUUUAUGGCGCUCAACGCAUAUCAUGACAAACGUGGUCACACCAGACGGGCUGACAGACCGAACAGAACGAACGUAUGGAUGGCAACGAAUGUGCAAAUAGCACCACUGAUAGUGUGAUAAAGAAUGAGGGCAAUUUGUUGUCGUCCUCAAGCUUAAAGAAUUGCAAGAGACAUCUAAUGAAAUGCACUAAUGAGUUUUCUCUUGUUGAUGUUGAUGUUGUAUUUUAUUAAAUAAUUUGUACUUUUAUUGUUACUUAUUCCGUUUGGUCAG